CAUCCCUUCUGGCAGUGUUUCUAGUUCAAUUGCAAAGUAAAGACGUGUAACGAGUACAACGGAUUUCGGGAUUUUUAUUCAUACACACACACACACACACAGAUCAAAAACCUAAAAAACAAGAAAUAUAAAUUAUUGAUAGGCCAAGAAGCAAGAAGCAGAGAGAGAAUGUGAAAAAGAAGAGUAAAACACAACAACACAGCAUGAACUGAAAAAAAGGCCAAAAGUUUAGGAAUUCAAUGAGGAAAUGUGAAAAGUGUUGAGGAAGUUUUUUUUUAUUCGUUUAUUUGGUAUGCCUUGAAACAAUCAAAUUAAACUAGAAAUCCGUUUGAAAGGAAAUUUGAAUAUAAGCGUGGCGUGAAACGUGAAUUCCCAACAAAAAAGAAAUGUGAUGAUGCAGAGCUAAAGCCUAGCCAUAAACUUGCCAAAAAAAAAAUAGAGAAAAAUCACACGCACAUCACACGCUCUCGUUGUACAUAAGGUGAAGUGAGAUAUGUGAGUGUCAGCUUGCCAAAAAAUAUAUAAAAAUAAGCACAAGAAGAGGAAGAAAAAUUACGAAGCUUAGAGCAAAGGAAACCGUUACAAAACCAGCAAAACAGCAACAACAAAAAAAUCAUUUGCUACAAAAAUAUUUAUAUAUGAAAAACGUGGCAUCCAAAACGAAAUUCUAUGAAUAAAUUAAUAAAAUUUCACACAACCCUUGGGCGGGGGUAAAACGUGCAAGAGAACGAAUCCUUUACGACGUCAUCUCCUGCGACAUCUCCUUCCUAUGGUUGUUCCGUGGGUGCCCAGGUGUGCGUAUGAGUGAUUUCAGCAUUUAAAUAAAUUUCAUGAAUAAUAAUACAAAACGAGCUAAAAUAUUGCUAAAACAAAAUAAUGAAAAUGAAAAUAUUACACACAGUGAGUAGUGAAAGUGUGCAGUGAUGGUCUCGAAGGUGGCGUGAUAAGUGAUUUGCGUAAGGCAGAAAGCGGUAAAUUAAGCUGCCCACCUUGGUACAUAUAUGCGGUAGUUAUGAUGAUGGCGAUAAUGAUGAUGUGGAUGAUGGAAGCAUGAAGGAUUGAAAUGAGAUGCAAAAACCAUAUCAAGGUAACAUGCAAAUGAAACCAGGCGAAACGUUAAAAGAGUUUUAUGGGGCAUAAAAUAAUAACAAACCACAUAGCCAAACAACAACCAGAAGAAGAAACACUAGAAGUGCAGUGUAGCGAAGUGAAACCCUUAAACUCCCCAUACACAUCUAAGUUUUCCCUUAGACAAAAAGAAAACACACACCAACAUAUUCACUGUUUAAGGCUUAAAUUCAAACAAUUGCAAAAAUAAAGCUUAACAAAGGCAACGAAGUUGGAUUCCUCAAAAGUAAAAGGCAAGGCAUUGUCGUAGUCGCCUUCGUUGUUGCUUUCGUCAUCUCGUAUUGUGUCGUUGUACUCUUAGGCAUCAUCUGUGUGUAGAGUGCCCAUCGACGUGGCUUGUCAUAGGCUGAAGGGGCUGCUGUAUGUAGGCAUGUCAUCAUUUGAUAGAGUUAUACAGUGUGUUUGUGUGCAUGUGUGCCCCCAGUGAGUGUAAGAGAGAAAGUGUGGCUAAUGUCUAACGUUGAAUGUGGUGUAAAAUUGCCUGGCUGCUCAAGGAUUACAACGAAAUAAAACAACAACAAUAAUAAAUAAACUUGUAGCAAGUACCUUGGUCCAUACACAUACUCACAUACAUACAUACAUACCUAUAUAUGCAUGUAUGAGUAGACCUUGUAAACAGCCAUUCAACCUGAUAACGAAUGCUGUACACUUUUGGACCACACACACACGCACUAAAGGAGCAUGUGAAUGAUGGUGAUGAUGCCCUAGUCUUGGUAGCUGCUAAAUGAUUAAGGAUAACAUACAAUAUAAAUUACCAGGACAAGCAACAAAACAACAAUAACAGCAGCAGCAAGAACAACAACAACAACAGCUAUAACAUUUUUAAGCACCUAAGCAGCCACAACAAAAACAAACAAGGUUACAAGGACAAUCAGCAAUGGCUAGCUUAAAACUAAUCAAAUGAAAAUCAAUACAAACAAAGGACAAGGCAACAAAAGGAAACCCUGAAAAAUAGCCACAGGCAAGUGCUCCCCUUGGCAGCUUCAACCCCCCGCUGGGGCAGGAACCCAAAGGAAUUGGGGAAUAUUAAUAUUAGUAACCAAAGAAAUAAACAAAAGUGUCAAGGGAGAAACAUCAAAAAA